rnacentral:lncRNA from 1 species
AUCCAGAUCGAGCACCCCUCCUCCUCCCUUCCAGAUCGCAGCCGCCACCUCCUACCCACCGUCCCACCCAUCCUCUGCACCUCCGCUCGUCGCGCCCUUCCUCCGCUACUCCACCCCUCCGCCGUCGCCGCCCAGUACCGCUCCACCUCCUCGGUGCGCCGCAGUGCCCCUUCCUCCUCCUCCUCGGCGUGGCGCGGCGGCAAUGCCUCCGCCGGCCGCGGGGACGCGGUGCGCGCGAGGGUGGCGGGGGCAGCCGCGCCGGUGACCGAGGCGACGACGGC